rnacentral:misc_RNA from 1 species
GAUCACUAGUGAUUAACCGGAGAGCGUCUUCAUUGACCUCUCCAACCCUUCACAUCCACAUACACCCUGUGAACCGUUUGGCUUUGUUGAGCUGAAAGUUGAAAGAAUAGGCUUGCAAAAGUCUAGUCGGACGAUGGACAGAUCGCAAGGUCAUCAUCAUAUACAUACACGAAGUCUAAUGAAUGUAAACGUUUUAUAUAAACAAAAUAAAACUUUCAACAACGGAUCUCUUGGUUCUCGCAUCGAUGAAGAACGCAGCGAAAUGCGAUAAGUAAUGUGAAUUGCAGAAUUCAGUGAAUCAUCGAAUCUUUGAACGCACCUUGCACUCUCUGGUAUUCCGGAGAGUACGCCUGUUUGAGUGUCAUGAAACUCUCACUCCUCAUCUUUCUUUAUUGAGAGGUAGGGACGUGGAUUUGGAUCUGUUGCUGGUGAAUCUGAUUCAUCGGCUCGUCCGAAAUAUAUUAGCUGGAUCCUCUUUGUCAAUUGGUUCUACUCGACGUAAUAAGUAUUUCGUCGAGGACGGUCUUCGGAUCGGCCGAUAGAAAGAGUCUUUUUUUAGAUCCGCUUCUAAUCCGUGCGAUUUUAUUAUCCACACACUUUUAA